rnacentral:lncRNA from 1 species
AUGGCUCCUUGCAAGUCAAGAGUAAAUAGAGAAACUUAUCUAUUACACCAGUUAAAGAGCUCCAUAGAUGUGCUGUUGGAAAUGACUACCGCGGCUGCGGAGGUGCGAGGAGAUAAGCAACUUCCAGCUCUGCGAGCUCAGCAAGGCUUGCGCUACCGCGCGACAGACCGCAGUGAGAGCAGCGCGGGCUAAGGGCGCGCCGGCAGCCGCGCAGCGCGCAACCCCCGCUCGGGCUUUUGGCGACGGACGCGCUUAGAACCACGGCGCSGUGCGGCUGCCCCCGCGGAGCGCGCGCGGGCUGCUCCUGGGCUGCGCGCCCCGAUUCCUGCGCUCUCCCGCGCGGCCCCCGGCGGAGAAAGCGUCGCGGGGGAAAGCGUCAGGUUGGGAGGGUUGUUCCUCGCGUGACAGCGCUCGACGUGGCCCCGCUCCCGCGGGCAGGAGCAGCCGGCGACGCCGGCGCGGAGAGGGCGAGGGCAGCGGCUCUGCCGCGGCGGCU